CAAUUUCCUGAGCACAAUGCAACUACUGGGAGUACUUGAGCACAGCACUGUACUGAGAUUUAAUAGCAUAUUUGAAGGUUUACCUAAAACAUUAAAAGCUCAUUUAAUUAAGAUUACUUCGCAAGUUAGGCAGUACUGAUGGACGCUAUAAAGAACUUAAAGACACCAUCAGAAAAGCCACACCUCCUCUAAUACCAUAUUUGGCAUUGACUAUGAGGGAGCUGGUUAGUGUGUCCAAGAGUGCAUCAAACUAUAUUGAAGGAGAUUUGGUUAACUUUACUAAAAUGAGAAGAUACACAAGAAUCAUACACAGUCUUUUACAGCAUCAGAAAGACCCUUAUGAUUUUAACUUUGAUCCUGAGAUAUUGAAAGUAUUGCUGACAACAGAGUUGCCAGGAGAUGAGAAUGCUCUUUAUGAAUAUGUCGAUGAGCUUAGAGACCGUCCUUUAUAACCUUCUUCCUCAUCCUCCUCUUCUUCUGAACAGUAGAUAAAUGCAUUAUCAUUAUAACACUUCAUGUGUUUCAAACAUGUUAACUUUAUACUGUCUGUUUUGUUAUAUAAUAAUUUUCACUAUAAUGAGUGCAAUGCAUAUUUUUAUCAAUUACUUGUUUUGCAUCUACAAUUAAA